GCCUCCAUAGCACAGUGGUAGUGCGUUUUCUUCGUAAGUGAAAGGUCGUGAGUUCAAUCCUUACUAGAGGCU
rfam:Ipomoea nil DNA, scaffold: scaffold2349, cultivar: Tokyo-kokei standard.